rnacentral:rRNA from 1 species
UGAGGAACAUGACUUUCGGUGGGGGAGUAGCCGGCCCAACGGCCGGGUAAUACCGCGUACGACCUUUUGGGGACAUCCCCGAUUGGUGAAAGCAGCAAUGCGCCGAAAGAGUGCCUCGCGGCCUAUCAGCUAGUUGGUGGGGUAAUGGCUCACCAAGGCGACGACGGGUAGCUGGUCCGAGAGGAUGGCCAGCCACAUUGGGACUGAGACACGGCCCAGACUCCUACGGGGAGCAG